rnacentral:rRNA from 1 species
AUUGAACGCUGGCGGCAGGCCUAACACAUGCAAGUCGAACGGUAACAGGAAGAAGCUUGCUUCUUUGCUGACGAGUGGCGGACGGGUGAGUAAUGUCUGGGAAACUGCCUGAUGGAGGGGGAUAACUACUGGAAACGGUAGCUAAUACCGCAUAACGUCGCAAGACCAAAGAGGGGGACCUUCGGGCCUCUUGCCAUCGGAUGUGCCCAGAUGGGAUUAGCUAGUAGGUGGGGUAACGGCUCACCUAGGCGACGAUCCCUAGCUGGUCUGAGAGGAUGACCAGCCACACUGGAACUGAGACACCGUCCAGACUCCUACGGGAGGCAGCAGUGGGGAAUAUUGCACAAUGGGCGCAAGCCUGAUGCAGCCAUGCCGCGUGUAUGAAGAAGGCCUUCGGGUUGUAAAGUACUUUCAGCGGGGAGGAAGGGAGUAAAGUUAAUACCUUUGCUCAUUGACGUUACCCGCAGAAGAAGCACCGGCUAACUCCGUG